UCUGCUCAAUGAUUUUUUAAAUUGCUGUGGUAUUUUGACUAUACAAAGGUAUUGUAAUAAGGCUUUAAUUGAGUGCUAAAAGAAUGGACUUUCAAAAAAAGUCUAUCUUGAAUUUAAUAAUUGAAUUUAUUUUUAUUUGUGAAGAAACAAUAAUUUAAAUUAAGGACAAGAAGACCCUAAGAAUUUUUAAAUUCAAAAUAAAAGGAAUUUUUUUUUGAAUUUUUAAUUGGGGCGAUUAAAAAAUAUUAUUAACUUUUAAUUUCAAAAAAUGAUCCAUUAUUAAUGAUUUAAUGUAAAAAAUACUCUAGGGAUAACAGCGUAAUAAUUUUGGAUAGAUCUUAUAGAAAAAAUAGUUUGCGACCUCGAUGUUGGAUUAGGAUCCUUUUUUAAUGAAGAAGUUAAAAAAAGAAGUUUGUUCAACUUUUGAAAUCCUACUUGAUCUGAGUUCAGACCGGA
rnacentral:rRNA from 1 species